AGGGAUUUAAGUUAAAUAAAACUAAUAGCCUUCAAAGCUUUAAUUGACACUUACAAUCAAUCCCUA
rnacentral:tRNA from 1 species